rnacentral:rRNA from 1 species
AGUGAACGCUGGCGGUAGGCCUAACACAUGCCAGUCGAACGGCAGCACAGUAAAAGCUUGCUCUUACGGGUGGCGAGUGGCGGACGGGUGAGGAAUACAUCGGAAUCUACUUUUUCGUGGGGGAUAACGUAGGGAAACUUACGCUAAUACCGCAUACGACCUACGGGUGAAAGCAGGGGAUCUUCGGACCUUGCGCGAUUGAAUGAGCCGAUGUCGGAUUAGCUAGUUGGCGGGGUAAAGGCCCACCAAGGCGACGAUCCGUAGCUGGUCUGAGAGGAUGAUCAGCCACACUGGAACUGAGACACGGUCCAGACUCCUACGGGAGGCAGCAGUGGGGAAUAUUGGACAAUGGGCGCAAGCCUGAUCCAGCCAUACCGCGUGGGUGAAGAAGGCCUUCGGGUUGUAAAGCCCUUUUGUUGGGAAAGAAAAGCAGCAGGUUAAUACCCCGCUGUUCUGACGGUACCCAAAGAAUAAGCACCGGCUAACUUCGUG